GAUGAACGCUGGCGGCGUGCCUAAUACAUGCAAGUCGAGCGAACAGACGAGGAGCUUGCUCCUCUGACGUUAGCGGCGGACGGGUGAGUAACACGUGGAUAACCUACCUAUAAGACUGGGAUAACUUCGGGAAACCGGAGCUAAUACCGGAUAAUAUAUUGAACCGCAUGGUUCAAUAGUGAAAGACGGUUUUGCUGUCACUUAUAGAUGGAUCCGCGCCGCAUUAGCUAGUUGGUAAGGUAACGGCAUACCAAGGCGACGAUGUGUAGCCGACCUGAGAGGGUGAUCGGCCACACUGGUACUGAGACACGGUCCAGACUCCUACGGGAGGCAGCAGUAGGGAAUCUUCCGCAAUGGGCGAAAGCCUGACGGAGCAACGCCGCGUGAGUGAUGAAGGUCUUCGGAUCGUAAAACUCUGUUAUUAGGGAAGAACAAAUGUGUAAGUAACUAUGCACGUCUUGACGGUACCUAAUCAGAAAGCCACGGCUAACUACGUG
rnacentral:rRNA from 1 species